rnacentral:rRNA from 1 species
GACGAACGCUGGCGGCGUGCUUAACACAUGCAAGUCGAACGGAAAGGCCCUGCUUGCAGGGUGCUCGAGUGGCGAACGGGUGAGUAACACGUGGGUGAUCUGCCCCUUACUUUGGGAUAAGCCUGGGAAACUGGGUCUAAUACUGGAUAGGACCAUGCUGUAGGUGGUGUGGUGGAAAGAUUAGUUUCGGUAAGGGAUGAGCUCGCGGCCUAUCAGCUUGUUGGUGGGGUAAUGGCCUACCAAGGCGUCGACGGGUAGCCGGCCUGAGAGGGUGGACGGCCACAUUGGGACCGAGAUACGGCCCAGACUCCUACGGGAGGCAGCAGUGGGGAAUAUUGCACAAUGGGCGCAAGCCUGAUGCAGCGACGCCGCGUGGGGGAUGACGGCCUUCGGGUUGUAAACUCCUUUCAGCCAUGACGAAGCCCUUGUGGUGACGGUAGUGGUAGAAGAAGCACCGGCUAACUACGUG